rnacentral:lncRNA from 1 species
CCAAUACCUAUUUCUCCCUCCAGCCUUCACACUCUUGUAGUUUAAGAAUGAGAUAAUCUUGUAGCUGCUGGGAGUUUCCAUGAAGGGGGACUGGCCCAGGAAUGAGGUCAACCAGAGAAAAGUAGAGCCCUGAGAGAGGGACUAGGUCCUGAAGACUUCAUUUAAGACACAGGAUCCAGCCUUGCUUGAUGUCAUUACUCCUAGACUUUCACGUACAAGAGCCAAAAAAUUGUCUUUUCUUCCCCCUUAACCCAGGGCUCCUGCAACCAAAAGAACACUUGACUGUGGCAUCUUUCCAGCCUCCUGUUAGCAGCUAGGUAAGGUGCCCCCAUGGCAAGGAGCUGCGGGCAGCCUCAAGAAACUGGGUGGCCUCUUAGGACCUGAGGGCAGCCUCCAACAAGCAAGCAGCAAACCUCUGGGGCCUUCUGUUCUACAACUGCAAGGAAAUAAAUUCUGCCAACAGCCUGAAUGAGCACGGAAGUGAACUCUUUCUCAGUCGAGCCUCUGAAUGAGAACACAGUUCAACUCAUGCCUUGACUGCAGCUUGUGAGAGUCUGAGAAGAGGACCAGGAGCAACUCUAGUUGACUCUCCACUCCCACGCUGCAGGAAUUGACGGCGCACAGGGAACAGUUUCUACUGCUGUCCUUCCCGUUACCUCCUCCAAUGGGGCUUCAGUCACCACCUCUCUGGAAGGUGAUGAUGGUCGGCAGCUCCAUAUCGCCAGCCGUGACUCUGCCCUGAAAUCUAGCCCAAGGGAGCCAACUGCCUGUUUUGUCAGAGACAACAUGCUGAUGGGGAAAGCUAGAUUUGAG